rnacentral:rRNA from 1 species
GACGAACGCUGGCGGCGUGCUUAACACAUGCAAGUCGAACGGAAAGGCCCUGAUUUUGUGGGGUGCUCGAGUGGCGAACGGGUGAGUAACACGUGAGUAACCUGCCCUUGACUUUGGGAUAACUUCAGGAAACUGGGGCUAAUACCGGAUAGGAGCUCCUGCUGCAUGGUGGGGGUUGGAAAGUUUCGGCGGUUGGGGAUGGACUCGCGGCUUAUCAGCUUGUUGGUGGGGUAGUGGCUUACCAAGGCUUUGACGGGUAGUCGGCCUGAGAGGGUGACCGGCCACAUGAAUACUGAGAUACGUCCCAGACUCCUACUGGACUCAGCAGUGAGGAAUAUUGCACAAUGGUCGGAAGCCUGAUGCAGCAACACCACGUGCGGGAUGACGGCCUUCGGGUUGUAAACCGCUUUCGCCUGUGACGAAGCGUAAGUAACGGUAAUAGGUAAAGAAGCACCGGCUAACUACGUG